rnacentral:rRNA from 1 species
GAUGAACGCUAGCUACAGGCUUAACACAUGCAAGUCGAGGGGAAACGACAUCGAAAGCUUGCUUUUGAUGGGCGUCGACCGGCGCACGGGUGAGUAACGCGUAUCCAACCUGCCCACCACUUGGGGAUAACCUUGCGAAAGUAAGACUAAUACCCAAUGACGUCUCUAGAAGACAUCUGAAAGAGAUUAAAGAUUUAUCGGUGAUGGAUGGGGAUGCGUCUGAUUAGCUUGUUGGCGGGGUAACGGCCCACCAAGGCGACGAUCAGUAGGGGUUCUGAGAGGAAGGGCCGCCACAUUGGAACUGAGACACGGUCCAAACUCCUACGGGAGGCAGCAGUGAGGAAUAGUGAUCAAUGGACGAGAGUCUGAACCAGCCAAGUAGCGUGCAGGAUGACGGCCCUAUGGGUUGUAAACUGCUUUUAUAAGGGAAUAAAGUGAGUCUCGUGAGACUUUUUGCAUGUACCUUAUGAAUAAGGACCGGCUAAUUCCGUG